rnacentral:rRNA from 1 species
GACGAACGCUGGCGGCGUGCCUAAUACAUGCAAGUAGAACGCUGAAGGAGGAGCUUGCUUCUCUGGAUGAGUUGCGAACGGGUGAGUAACGCGUAGGUAACCUGCCUGGUAGCGGGGGAUAACUAUUGGAAACGAUAGCUAAUACCGCAUAAUAGUAGAUGUUGCAUGACAUUUGCUUAAAAGGUGCAAUUGCAUCACUACCAGAUGGACCUGCGUUGUAUUAGCUAGUUGGUGGGGUAACGGCUCACCAAGGCGACGAUACAUAGCCGACCUGAGAGGGUGAUCGGCCACACUGGGACUGAGACACGGCCCAGACUCCUACGGGAGGCAGCAGUAGGGAAUCUUCGGCAAUGGACGGAAGUCUGACCGAGCAACGCCGCGGGAGUGAAGAAGGUUUUCGGAUCGUAAAGCUCUGUUGUAAGAGAAGAACGAGUGUGAGAGUGGAAAGUUCACACUGUGACGGUAUCUUACCAGAAAGAGACGGCUAACUACGUG